CUACGGGCUGCUCCAGUAGGGAAUCUUAGACAAUGGGGGAAACCCUGAUCUAGCCAUGCCGCGUGAGUGAUGAAGGCCUUAGGGUUGUAAAGCUCUUUCGCUGGGGAAGAUAAUGACGGUACCCAGUAAAGAAACCCCGGCUAACUCGCGUGCCAGCAGCCGCGGUAAUACGGAGGGGGUUAGCGUUGUUCGGAAUUACUGGGCGUAAAGCGCGCGUAGGCGGGCUAUUAAGUCAGGGGUGAAAUCCCGGGGCGCAACCCCGGAACUGCCUUUGAUACUGGUAGUCUUGAGUUCGAGAGAGGUGAGUGGAAUUCCGAGUGUAGAGGUGAAAUUCGUAGAUAUUCGGAGGAACAUCAGUGGCGAAGGCGACUCACUGGCUCGAUACUGACGCUGAGGUGCGAAAGUGUGGGGAGCAAACAGGAUUAGAUACCCGGGUAGUC
rnacentral:rRNA from 1 species